UUCACGAUAACUGUGCGUCCCUUCAGAGU
rnacentral:piRNA from 1 species